AUUGAACGCUGGCGGCAGGCCUAACACAUGCAAGUCGAGCGGAUGAAGGGAGCUUGUUCCUGGUUUUAGCGGCGGACGGGUGAGUAAUGCCUAGGAAUCUGCCUGGUAGUGGGGGAUAACGUCCGGAAACGGGCGCUAAUACUGCAUACGUCCUGAGGGAGAAAGUGGGGGAUCUUUGGACCUCAUGCUAUCAGAUGAGUCUAGGUCGGAUUAGCUAGUUGGUGGGGUAAAGGCCUACCAAGGCGACGAUCCGUAACUGGUCUGAGAGGAUGAUCAGUCACACUGGAACUGGAACACGGUCCAUACUCCUACGGGAGGCAGCAGUGGGGAAUAUUAGACAAUAGGCGAAAACCUGGUCCAACCAUGCCACGUGUGUGAAGAAGGUCUUCGGAUUGUAAAGCACUUUAAGUUGGGAGGAAGGGCAGUAAGUUAAUACCUUGCUGUUUUGACGUUACCAACAAAAUAAGCACCGGCUAACUACGUG
rnacentral:rRNA from 1 species